rnacentral:tRNA from 1 species
GGAUAUAGCUCAGUUGGUAGAGUGCUUACCUUGCAUGUGCAAAGCCCUGGGUUCAAUCCCCAGCAUCACA